rnacentral:rRNA from 1 species
GACGAACGCUGGCGGCGUGCUUAACACAUGCAAGUCGAACGGAAAGGCCCUGCUUUUGUGGGGUGCUCGAGUGGCGAACGGGUGAGUAACACGUGAGUAACCUGCCCUUGACUUUGGGAUAACUUCAGGAAACUGGGGCUAAUACCGGAUAGGAGCUCCUGCUGCAUGGUGGGGGUUGGAAAGUUUCGGCGGUUGGGGAUGGACUCGCGGCUUAUCAGCUUGUUGGUGGGGUAGUGGCUUACCAAGGCUUUGACGGGUAGCCGGCCUGAGAGGGUGACCGGACACAGGGGGACUGAGACAGGCCCGAGUCUCCCGGGGGGGACAGCUGUGGGAAAUAGUGCAAAAGGGGCGAGAGUGUUGCGCAGCAGCGCCGCGGGGGGGAUGACGGUCUUGGUGUUAAACACCGCUUUCGCGUGUGGCAAAGCGAGAGUGGGGGUAAGGAGUAAAGAAGCCCGGGCGAUAUACG